GUGGGGAAUCUUGCGCAAUGGGCGAAAGCCUGACGCAGCCAUGCCGCGUGAAUGAUGAAGGUCUUAGGAUUGUAAAAUUCUUUCACCGGGGACGAUAAUGACGGUACCCGGAGAAGAAGCUCCGGCUAACUUCGUGCCAGCAGCCGCGGUAAUACGGAGGGAGCUAGCGUUGUUCGGAAUUACUGGGCGUAAAGCGCGCGUAGGCGGACAGCUUAGUCAGAGGUGAAAGCCCAGGGCUCAACCUUGGAAUUGCCUUUGAUACUGGCUGUCUUGAGUUUGGGAGAGGUGAGUGGAACUCCGAGUGUAGAGGUGAAAUUCGUAGAUAUUCGGAAGAACACCAGUGGCGAAGGCGACUCACUGGCCCAAUACUGACGCUGAGGCGCGAAAGCGUGGGGAGCAAACAGGAUUAGAUACCCGAGUAGUCC
rnacentral:rRNA from 1 species